GCCGGCGUGGCGGAAUGGCAGACGCACCAGACUCAAAAUCUGGCGAUGGCAACAUCGUACGAGUUCAAGUCUCGUCGCCGGCA
rnacentral:tRNA from 1 species